UAUAUAUAUAAAUACACACAAACAACACAUAUGUAUUAUAUCGUUUUCCGACACCGAUCAUUCUUUUAUCCUUUAUCGUCGUUACGCGAAGGAUUCGAAUGAUCGUUGGCAGAAGGAUUAAAAAAGAUAGAAAAAAAUAAAAAACGAUACACCGACGAAACUUCGUUGUUCGUGGUGCAUACCUCGACUAAUUGAGAGGGCAUAUAUAUAUAUAUAUAUACAUAUAUAUAUAUAUAUACACAAAGAAAAUAAAAAAUAAAAAAAAGAAUAAAAAAAAAAUAAAAGCGUAAUAAAAGCAAACGACGACACGAGUCGGGGCUCGCUCGUCCGAUCGAUCGCACUUACAUAGACAUAUAGAUUAUACACGCUCACGCAUGCUAUAGCAGCAACGGUGACUUAGUCACGUCGCAAUUAAUCGGAUUUAUCGAUUCGAUCGAACCGAGUCUAGGAGAGGCUCAACCUUCCUUUUCCUUUCCCGUUUCCCCCUUUACCUUUACAAUGUCGAUCGGCUUUCUCUCGCACGCGUGCACGUGCACGUGUACACGUGACUAUACUCCCUACUAAUCACCUGGGGGAAAGUUUCGUUUUCACCUUUUCCUCUUUACAUUCUCUCUUUUUUUUCUCUUUCUCUCUGUAUCUAUCUCGAUGAAAAAAAAAAAAAAAAAAAAAAAAAAAUGAAAAUUUUCAAAUAUUCACAUAAAAACUUCGCGAAUAUUUUCUCUUUUCCUUUUUUUUUAAUUUCAUACAAUUGUAACAUUUAUUUAAUAGAAUUUUUAUCACAGGCCAUUGACACGUUAAAUAUCUCAUGGUUUAUUAAAGAUUAUCCUUUUUCAUUUUUAAUACCCUAGUUCUUAAAUGGACAUAUGCCAAUUAUGUUUAUUGAACAAAUGUGUGAGAAAGAACAAAGUGUUACAAGGAUGAAAUAUUUCAAGACUUUUCGUUUUUUUAUCCUCCAAUCGUUUACUAAAUGUCCAGUUUAUUUUUACCCCUCUUAUUGCUACUACUUUCGGUAUCACACAUAUACGAGUAUAUACGUAGUUACAUAGGUUCGGGAAAAUUUGGGUUUCACGGAAACGUCCUCGUUUUCCAAAGUAAUCAAGAUUAUGUAAGAGACGGGAAAGCUCGACGAAAGGCAAGAGAUUUGCACGAAUCUCGGACGGAAUUCAGGGAGAAAUUAAGCUCUCCAACCUGCCUUUCAUAGGCGACCUCGUGAACAUCAACAUUCUAAAUAUUCAACGUCGUCGCUCGCCUUACUCUUGGAAAUCUUUUUAUUUUUGGUUUCUUGUUUUUUCUUUUUCUUUUUUUUUUCUUCUAUCCCUCGAAAACUCGUUUCACCGACUUCUCUUUACGUCAAUGCAUUUUUCCAAUUAUAUUCACUUUGCACUCGCCCUUCUCGUUUUCACUUUGAUCUUGACAAAGGAUCUCUCAUGUUGAGUGAUACCACACGUAACAAGCUAGUAUCACUUUUAAAAAUUCUGUAUCCAAGAAAGAAAAAGAUAAAGAGAGAAAGAUGAAGAGAAAGAGAGAGAGAGAGAGAGAGAGAGACAGAGAGAGAGAGAGAGAGAGAGAAAGAGAUUGAGAAAUUGAACGAGUGAGUGAGAGAGUGAGAGAGAGAGAGAGAACGUCAAUUAAUAGCUAUCAAAACGAUUUAAAUGAACAUGAUGCGGAACGACGAAUAAUUCACUUCGUAUGUUCCAUAAUCGCGGCAUAUAAUAUAGAGUAAAUCUAUUAUCGACUUUUUGUAGCAAAAGAAAAAGAAAGAAAGAGAAAGAGAAAGUUUA